AUUGAACGCUGGCGGCGUGCUUAACACAUGCAAGUCGUGCGGUAACAGGCGUAGCAAUACGUGCUGACGAGCGGCGAACGGGUGCGUAAUACAUGGGAAUCUGCCCUUUAGUGGGGAAUAACCCGGCGAAAGCCGGGCUAAUGCCGCAUAAGAUCUUCGGAUGAAAGCGGGGGAUCGUAAGACCUCGCGCUGAUGGAUGAGCCCAUGCCGGAUUAGCAGUUGGUGAGGUAACGGCUCACCAAGGCGACGAUCCGUAGCUGGUCUGAGAGGACGGCCAGCCACACUGGGACUGAGACACGGCCCAGACUCCUACGGGAGGCAGCAGUGGGGAAUAUUGGACAAUGGGGAAACCCUGAUCCAGCGACGCCGCGUGUGUGAAGAAGGCCU
rnacentral:rRNA from 1 species